rnacentral:rRNA from 1 species
GAUGAACGCUGGCGGCGUGCCUAAUACAUGCAAGUCGAGCGAACGGACGAGAAGCUUGCUUCUCUGAUGUUAGCGGCGGACGGGUGAGUAACACGUGGAUAACCUACCUAUAAGACUGGGAUAACUUCGGGAAACCGGAGCUAAUACCGGAUGAUAUUUUGAACCGCAUGGUUCAAAAGUGAAAGACGGUCUUGCUGUCACUUAUAGAUGGAUCCGCGCUGCAUUAGCUAGUUGGUAAGGUAACGGCUUACCAAGGCAACGAUGCUUAGCCGACCUGAGAGGGUGAUCGGCCACACUGGAACUGAGACACGGUCCAGACUCCUACGGGAGGCAGCAGUAGGGAAUCUUCCGCAAUGGGCGAAAGCCUGACGGAGCAACGCCGCGUGAGUGAUGAAGGUCUUCGGAUCGUAAAACUCUGUUAUUAGGGAAGAACAUAUGUGUAAGUAACUGUGCACAUCUUGACGGUACCUAAUCAGAAAGCCACAGCUAACUACGUG